GAGAUUAUAGUUAAUAAUAACAUUUAAUUUGCAAUUAAAAAUUACCACAAGGUUUUUCUCA
rnacentral:tRNA from 1 species